CCAUCGGUUGUUCAGUGGUAGAAUGCUCGCCUACUACGCGGGCGGCCCGGGUUCGAUUCCCGGCUGAUGCA